GACGAACGCUGGCGGCGUGCUUAACACAUGCAAGUCGAACGGCAAGACCCUGCUUUUGUGGGGUGAUCGAGUGGCGAACGGGUGAGUAACACGUGAGUAACCUGCCCUUGACUUUGGGAUAACUUCAGGAAACUGGGGCUAAUACCGGAUAGGAGCUCCUGCUGCAUGGUGGGGGUUGGAUAGUUGCGGCGGGUGGGGAUGGACUCGCGGCUUAUCAGCUUGUUAGUGGGGGAGUGGCUUACCAAGCCAGUGACGGGUCGCCCGCCUGGGAGGGUGAACGGCCACAUGGGGCCUGAGGGAGGGCCCAGUGGGCAACGUGAGGCAAUGGGGGGAAGUAUGACCCAAUCAUCGGGCGUGUGUGGAGAAGGCGUCGGGGUUGUGAUGACGGCCUUCUGGGAAUAAACAGCUGUCGCCUGUUACCAAGCUGGAGUGACGGUAAUGAAUAAAUAAGCACCGGCUAACUACGUG
rnacentral:rRNA from 1 species